rnacentral:rRNA from 1 species
UACAGAGGGGGCAAGCGUUAUUCGGAAUUAUUGGGCGUAAAGGGCGCGUAGGCGGUGAUUUAAGUGAGAUGUGUAAUCCCCGAGCUUAACUUGGGAACUGCAUCUCAGACUGGGUCGCUAGAGUGCUGGAGAGGGUGGUGGAAUUCCACGUGUAGCGGUGAAAUGCGUAGAGAUGUGGAGGAACACCAGUGGCGAAGGCGGCCACCUGGACAGUAACUGACGCUGAGGCGCGAAAGUGUGGGGAGCAAACAGGAUUAGAGACCCUGGUAGUCCACGCUGUAGACGAUGAACACUUGGUGUGGUGGGAGUUGACCCCCGCCGUGCCGUAGCUAACGCGAUAAGUGUUCCGCCUGGGGAGUACGGUCGCAAGGCUGAA